rnacentral:tRNA from 1 species
AAGGACUUAGUUUAUACAAUAAAACAUUAGUUUGUCAAGCUAAAGAUAUCAUAAGAUAAUUCUUA